UACGAAGGACCCGAGCGUUAUCCGGAUUCAUUGGGUUUAAAGGGUGCGUAGGCGGAAUGAUAAGUCAGUGGUGAAAUCCUGCAGCUUAACUGCAGAACUGCCAUUGAUACUGUUGUUCUUGAAUGCAACUGAUGUGGGCGGAAUGUGCCAUGUAGUGGUGAAAUACUUAGAUAUGGCACAGAACACCGAUUGCGAAGGACAGCUCACAAAAUUGUUAUUGACGCUGAUGCACGAAAGCGUGGGGAUCAAACAGG
rnacentral:rRNA from 1 species